UGGCUCGGUUGGUAGAGCAUGGCACUUCCAACGCCAGGGUUGUGGGUUUGAUUCCCAU
rnacentral:tRNA from 1 species